GCGCCCGUAGCUCAAUUGGAUAGAGCGUCUGACUACGGAUCAGGAGGCUGGGAGUUCGAGUCUUCCCGGGCGCG
rnacentral:tRNA from 1 species